rnacentral:rRNA from 1 species
AGAGCGAACGCUGGCGGCAGGCCUAACACAUGCAAGUCGAGCGCCCGUAGCAAUACGGGAGCGGCAGACGGGAGAGUAACACGUGGGAACGCGCCCUUCGGUUCGGAAUAACUCAGGGAAACUUGAGCUAAUACCGGAUACGCCCUUACGGGGAAAGAUUUAUUGCCGAAGGAACGGCCCGCGUCCGAUUAGCUUGUUGGUGAGGUAAUGGCUCACCAAGGCGACGAUCGGUAGCUGGUCUGAGAGGAUGACCAGCCUCACUGGGACUGAGACACGGCCCAGACUCCUACGGGAGGCAGCAGUGGGGAAUAUUGGACAAUGGCGCAAGCCUGAUCCAGCCAUGCCGCGUGGAUGAUGAAGGCCCUAGGGUUGUAAAGUCCUUUUAACGGGAAGAUAAUGACGGUACCGUAGAAUAAGCCCGGCUAACUCGUGCCAGCAGCCGC